UCCGGAAUAUUGCUGCAGAGAGUUUGGUGAAUCUUGACACUUACAGAAAGGAGAAUUCUUAACAAGGUUUCCGUAGGUGAACCUGCGGAAGGAUCAUUC
rnacentral:rRNA from 1 species